ensembl:snRNA
GUGUUGCACGAAAGGAGAGAAGGUUAGCCCUCCCCUUAACAAACAUAGAAGAAGCCCCCGGGCCUAAUAACACAGAGUUCCUACAAUCUCACUAUGUUUUUAUCUUCAUCUCACUGUAUUCUAAGAAUUUUUUUU